rnacentral:rRNA from 1 species
UACGUAGGGUGCGAGCGUUAAUCGGAAUUACUGGGCGUAAAGCGUGCGUAGGCGGUUCGCUGUGUCCGAUGUGAAAGCCCCGGGCUUAACCUGGGAAUGGCAUUGGAAACUGGCGGGCUUGAGUGCGGCAGAGGGGGGUGGAAUUCCGCGUGUAGCAGUGAAAUGCGUAGAGAUGCGGAGGAACACCGGUGGCGAAGGCGGCUCUCUGGUCCACAACUGACGCUGAGGUGCGAAAGCUAGGGGAGCAAACGGG